rnacentral:rRNA from 1 species
UACGAAGGGUGCAAACGUUGCUCGGAAUCAUUGGGCGUAAAGAGCUCGUAGGCGGUGUGUCGCGUCGGCCGUGAAAACCUGCAGCUUAACUGUGGGCGUGCGGUCGAUACGGGCAUCACUGGAGUUCGGCAGGGGAGACUGGAAUUCCUGGUGUAGCGGUGAAAUGCGCAGAUAUCAGGAGGAACACCGGUGGCGAAGGCGGCAUCCUGGACCGGUAUUGACGCUGAGGCGCGAAAGCCAGGGGAGCAAACGGG